UACAGAGGGUGCAAGCGUUAAUCGGAUUUACUGGGCGUAAAGCGCGCGUAGGCGGCUAAUUAAGUCAAAUGUGAAAUCCCCGAGCUUAAACUUGGGAAUUGCAUUCGAUACUGGUUAGCUAGAGUGUGGGAGAGGAUGGUAGAAUUCCAGGUGUAGCGGUGAAAUGCGUAGAGAUCUGGAGGAAUACCGAUGGCGAAGGCAGCCAUCUGGCCUAACACUGACGCUGAGGUGCGAAAGCAUGGGGAGCAAACAGG
rnacentral:rRNA from 1 species